rnacentral:rRNA from 1 species
ACAUGGCUCCUUGUUUUCUUACAUAGGGAGUCGGACCUGCUCGGUGAAUAUAUUUUAACAGCCGCGGUACUCUGACCGUGCAAAGGUAGCAUAAUCAUUUGCCUUAUAAUUGAAGGCUAGUAUGAAUGGUUUGACGAGAAUUAAGCUGUCUCUUUUUAACUAAAUAUAACUUUAUUAAGAGGUGAAGAAGCCUGUAUUUUAUUGAAAGACAAGAAGACCCUAUCGAGCUUUAAAAAAUUUAGUAGAUUUACCAUAUAUUAAUAAAAAAGUAAAGCAACUAAAUAUUUUGGUUGGGGCGACUGAGGAACAAACAAAGCUUCCUUUAUGCUAAUUAAAACUUACAAGUAUUGAUCCAAUUUAUUUGAUUAAAGAAAUUAGUUACCGUAGGGAUAACAGCAUAAUCUCCUUUGAGAGUUCUCAUCGAAAAGGGGGUUUGUGACCUCGAUGUUGGACCAGAAUACCCAGAAGAUGCAGCCGUCUUCAAUGGUUGGUCUGUUCGACCAUUAAAAUUCUACAUGA